rnacentral:rRNA from 1 species
GUGAGGAAUAUUGCACAAUGGGCGCAAGCCUGAUGCAGCGACGCCGCGUGGGUGAUGAAGGCUUUCGGGUCGUAAAGCCCUUUUCUAGGUGACGAGAAUGGACGGUAGCCUAGGAAUAAGUGUCGGCUAACUACGUGCCAGCAGCCGCGGUAAAACGUAGGACACAAGCGUUAUCCGGAGUUACUGGGCGUAAAGGGCGUGUAGGCGGAUCGGUAAGUCUACUCUGAAAGCUCCUGGCUAAACUGGGAGAGGCGAGUGGAGACUGUCGGUCUAGAGUGAGGAAGAGGAAAGUGGAAUUCCGCGUGUAGUGGUGAAAUGCGUAGAGAUGCGGAGGAACACCAGUGGCGAAAGCGGCUUUCUGGUCCUUAACUGACGCUGAGGCGCGAAAGCAUGGGGAGCGAACGGGAUUAGAAACCCGUGUAGUCC